UGUUGCUCGAUUGUUCUGUUUUUCAGUUGACUUUGUUCAGUGCAGACUGCACUGAUAUUUUGUAAGCGAAAGAGAGAUUCCAUUAAUUUACCAAAGUUUGGUGACUUUACAAUGCCACAGAGAACUUUCAGAAAUUUCAGCAUGAUGCAAGUUGAGAAAUAUGUGAGGGCUUUUUUUUCGUCACACCUUCUCAGUACAUGUCAGUCCCUUACAUCCUGUUGGUUUUAAUGCACUCUAAGUGACUAGCAUCAGUUCAGUUUUGGUUUGAAAAUUAAACUGCACGAUUGUCUCAUUUGGACAUGGUCAGGGAAAGAAAAGAUAUAUUGUUCCCAUGCUACAGUUACUUUUCAUGAAGGAAAAUGUUUUAAUAAAGUAAUGGUAAAUACACAGCAUAACCUAAUGCACACUUUAAAAAGCAUUGAUCUGCCAAAAUAAGGUGAAGAAAACGGAUAAAGUGCACAUCAAUUGACUUUGCUAUGAAUGUUAAGGUUUCAGUGAUAUUUGUCAUUUUGUUUUGGACACAAAUCAGAAACUCACCUCGAAACAAGCUGUUCCAGGAAAGUGUGUUUUAAGGUCAUUUAUAUCUGCUUUUAUUCGUUGAGCAAGUAGCUGUCAACGUGCAUCUUAUGUGAGUGUAUUUUGAGGAAGCCUAUUUAGCAGAAAAAGGAAGUCAAGCACUGUACGAAAAUAUCCAGCAUGUAAAGAAAAUGAGCCCAGCACAACCUUCAGCAAAUUGUCCUUUAAAAAAAAGACACUUUGAAUUAUUAAACAGCUAUACCUGUAAUCCACAUUCCUAACCAUCAGGACUCAUCAAAGUGGUCAAGAUUUAUAGAUUAUGUACUACUCUAGAAUGUAGAUCAGUGAUUCUCAAACUUUUUACAACAAAUAUCACAUUGCUCUCUAAUGGUCAACAUUAAAAUACAGUUGUAUUGUAGGCCUAAGAAUUUAUCUAAAAUCAGGCCAAGGUUUUAUUCCCAAAACUGUAUUUAAUAUUUGUGUUCACCGCUGUAACAUGAUGUUUUACACAGUUCAAACUAUGCCUGUAUAGCUGCCAAAUGUGAUGGAUCGUCCGUAUUUUGUUAUGGAAAUCACUGAACGCAAACUUGUAACGGCCGUAACACUGACAGUUCUGGAUAUUUUUCAAAAUUUGGGUCACUUAAUUGCUCAAAUAGGCUGAAAACGAGCAAAGCGAGUUCACAGAAGUAGUAGCAGUGCUCUCUUCUCUCUCUCUCUCUCUCUCUCUCUCUCUCUCUCUCUCUCUCUCUCUCUCUCUCUCGCUCUCUCUUCAGGACAAGUCUGAAAUGCAUUAAAACCUUCACAGGUGAACUUAAUGUGACCUUGUCUAAGUUUUUGAAUGCAUAAGUGUCCCACUGUUAAAUAUUUCAGUACUGCACAAGUUGCUGUUCUCUACUGAGGAGCUAAAUGGCAAAAUUCACAACAGGCGUUCUUGAAUCGACGAAUAAAUGUCCUGGUUCAGUUCGAGCUCAUGCUAAAACAGUGGUCCUCAUCAUGCCGUUCACAUUUUGAUCAUAAGACCAAGAUGACACCUAACAAUGGAUCAACAGUACCUUGCCUUUAUAAUGCUUCAAACAGGACGUUCUCAGACAGGAAGUGGCCACUGAGCUUAGAGUGCCACAGAGUGUCUGCUGUAAGUUCCAUUAGAGACACAGAGAGAGUGGAAGAGUCACAGAAAAAUGUGGAAGUGGACGUCCUUUAAGCACAUCCCAUGCUGAUGACCACUACAUUGUGAACAUCAUGCCCUGAGAAAGCGGAUGAUGAAUGCCACUAAACUCCAGCCACGUUUAAGGGAGAUGACAGGCACCCAAGUGUCACGUCAGACCAUUUCAAACCGUUUACAUCAGCUUGGUCUCGUGCUAGACGAACUGCAAGGGUACCUGACCACACCACCGGGCAAAGGGAUCAUCGUCUUGGAUGGGCCAGGGAGCAUUCACGCUGGACAAGGAAGCAGUGGGCCUCAGUGCUGUUCUCUGAUGAAAGGCGAUUCACUUUAUGCAGAAAUGAUGGCCACUAACAAUUUUGGAGGCAUCAUGGAGAGCCCUGUACAUCAGCCACUGUUGUCACCAGACGAGUUUUUGGUGGUGGUGGUGGUGUUGCAGUGUGAGCAGGUGUGUCCAGUCAGAACAGAACUGCUCUACACUUUGUGAAUGGUACAGUGACAAGCCCAUACUAUCUGAAAAAACAUUAUGAAUUCAGUCCUGCUCCAUCUUAUCGAGGUUGCAUCAUCAAGGCUGUUGGAGAAUGGUGUACCAAAAAAUGGAAUGGCCUGCACUUUCUCCAGAACUUCAAUGGUUUAAGGGCUGCCCUUCAAGAAUGCCUCAGCAGACAAUAAGUGUGAACAGCAUGAGAUGUCAUUGUCAAGCUGUAAUUGGUGCUCAAGGACACAUGACAAGUUAUUGAAAUGUUGACAUUUUUUGUUGUGUUGUACCAUUGCUCUUAACUUUUGUCUCAAUUAAUUAUUUGAGAUAAGGAAAUCACCAGUGCAUCAUUGUACAUACUACGUACUUUCAUGAUAUGAUAUCACUGUAGCGUGAACUUUUUACAGUUUUCAUAAAUUUCACCUGGUAGCCAAAUAUCCUGAAUUUAGCCACAAGGGGGCACAAGCCAGUAUCUUAUUGUGCCGGUCCCAAGCCCGGAUAAAUACAGAGGGUUGUGUCAGGAAGGCCAUCCGAUGUAAAAUAUUCUGCCAAAACAAACAUGCAAAAGAUGAAGAGAGCAAAAGCAGAGGACAAAAUGGUGGAAGCGCAAAAAGGAAAAGUGUCGCAUGACUUUUAGGAAGGACUUGAGACAAGCACUGGGUGGUCAGGAGGUGCUUCCAGAUGACUGGACAACUAUAGCUAAUGUGAUCAGGGAGAUAGGAGAGAGGUACUUGGUAUAUCAUUUGGAAGUAAAGUAGAUAAAGAGACUUGGUGGUGGAAUGAAGAGAUGCAGGAGUGUAUACAGAGAAAGAAAAAGUGGAAUAUUGAGAGGACAGGGAGAUGCAGCACACAGUGAAAGUAGAGGUGGUGAAGGCCAAACAAGGCCUACGAUGACUUGUAUGCUCGGCUGGACAGCAAGUUUGUUUGCCACGGCCUUCACCCUGGGCAGGUUGAACCGCCUUCUUCCUUGGCGCGCACGACAUCCCUGAUCAUGGCGGCCCAAGCGUGGCGAUCCUGUGCCAGGUCAACCGACAGCUUCAGCCAGUCCUGGUUCCACCGUCUCAGACCCACCACCUGGGGGCCGGAAAGGCUGGCAAAGGAGCAGGAAGGAGAACAUCCCUGACCAACUCGCCGUCCUGGUGGCGUGCCGCAUGUCCGAAUCAACGGAGUCGGCGUUGCAGGAGAAACGCUGAUAAGGGACGAAGGUACAGGCAGUGACAAAGGUCAGCAGUGGGGACCCGGACCGAUCGGCGGCGGCGGAGAAUAUGGCGGAGGCAAUCGUUAUCGAAGACUUCUAGCUUGCGCUGGUCAGCCACUCUCAUAGGCCAGGUCUCACAGCCAUAAAGCAGGAUGGUCCACACAAUCUUUGUCACCGCCGAGAUCUCGCGCCGACCCCACAGAUGGCGUUGUAAGCGCACAAAGGCGGAUCUGGCGGCCCCGAUGCGAUCAACGACUUCUGCUUCUCCUUGCCCCGACGGAACCACAGAGUAGCCGAGAUACGUGAAGGAAUCAACGUUUUUCAGGCUCACGCUCUCCAGUGACAGCGACCGUUGGUCAGCUGGGUUGGUGAGUGAGGACAUGAUCUUGGUCUUAGAGGCAUAGAUGCGCAUUCCAACGGUCAGGGCUGUUCGAUGGAUUUUCAUCAGCGCGUUUUCAACUUCCUCAAACGUGUUUCCCAGUAGAGCGAUAUCAUCUGCGUACGCCAGGUCCGACACUGCGACAUUUCGGCCGACCCUCACACCCUCAAAGCCAUGAAGAGCAGUGUUGAGAAUGUGAUCGAUCGCAUAGUUGAACAAGGUUGGUGAGAGCGCGCAGCCUUUACUACUUCCUGGUCCACAACAGUCACCUCAACAGAGAGGUGUUGCAAAUAGACCUCGGUCCACCUGUUGCGGACCUAGGAUAUAGUGGGUUCAUUUGACCUACCGUGCAUGUUUUUGGAAUGUGGGAGAAAACCUAUCCAGGCAUGGGGAGAACAUGCAAACUCUACAAAAGGAGGGCCAGGAUGCGGAAUCAAACACAUGACUUCUGUAUUGAGCAGCAGACGUACCAGUCAACUACUGUGCCGGCCUGUUUCAGUAUUAAUCUAACAUUAUUUUGCAGGUUAAGUCUGAAAGCUAGAGACGUCAGCAACAACAGUGCUGUGCUUUCCUAUUUUGGAAAAGAAGCCUUUUUUCAUCUUUCCUUGGCCUGAUAACGUCCAUCCAAUUCAGGAAUCCUCUUUGUAGAUUCAGAGUAAAAAAAAAAAAAAUUAAGCCACUCUGAGUGAGACGCCAGGUUAAAGUGGACAAGAGGGCAAGAGUGUGUGUUUGUGUGUGGGUGUGUGUGUGUGUGUGUGUGUGUGUGUGUGUGUGCUGACGUUUGCAUUAUGGGUUGGCAUUCUCAUGACAACAAUGCUGACCAGUCAUCAUUGUGCAUUGACACACCCUCUUCCUUCAGGCACAGGGAGCGAGAACUUCUUUGCACUGCGAUUGUCACGUCGCAGACCACCCCCACCCCAAAUCAGAGCUCCAAGCAGAUAAAAUAAAAAAGCUGAAAAAGUCAUAUAAGGCUUCUCGCAUGAAAAUGACCGUGUGUAUGACAGAACAGCAAAAGGCAAUGGUGUGCUCACUCAAAAUGUCCAAGCAGCUCUGUGAUGGAAUACAAAAUGCACAGUGAAUGAAUUCACUGACACCACUGAUAAUGUGCAGUUGGUGGUGAUUGUGAGAUAUUAUGAUGAGGCAAAGGGGGAUGUCAUUGAAGAUGUAAGAUCUUAGGAAUGCUGAAUAAAAAAAAAAAAUUAAAAAAAGAGAGACAAA